GACGUAGGGCGCGAGCGUUGUCCGGAUUUAUUGGGCGUAAAGAGCUCGUAGGCGGCUUGUCGCGUCGUCCGUGAAAACCUGCAGCUCAACUGCAGGCUUGCGGUCGAUACGGGCAGGCUGGAGUUCGGUAGGGGAGACUGGAAUUCCUGGUGUAGCGGUGAAAUGCGCAGAUAUCAGGAGGAACACCGGUGGCGAAGGCGGGUCUCUGGGCCGACACUGACGCUGAGGCGCGAAAGCUAGGGGAGCGAACGGG
rnacentral:rRNA from 1 species